CCUGGCUCAGAUUGAACGCUGGCGGCAGGCCUAACACAUGCAAGUCGAACGGUAACAGGAAGAAGCUUGCUUCUUUGCUGACGAGUGGCGGACGGGUGAGUAAUGUCUGGGAAACUGCCUGAUGGAGGGGGAUAACUACUGGAAACGGUAGCUAAUACCGCAUAACGUCGCAAGACCAAAGAGGGGGACCUUCGGGCCUCUUGCCAUCAGAUGUGCCCAGAUGGGAUUAGCUAGUAGGUGGGGUAACGGCUCACCUAGGCGACGAUCCCUAGCUGGUCUGAGAGGAUGACCAGCCACACUGGAACUGAGACACGGUCCAGACUCCUACGGGAGGCAGCAGUGGGGAAUAUUGCACAAUGGGCGCAAGCCUGAUGCAGCCAUGCCGCGUGUAUGAAGAAGGCCUUCGGGUUGUAAAGUACUUUCAGCGGGGAGGAAGGGAGUAAAGUUAAUACCUUUGCUCAUUGACGUUACCCGCAGAAGAAGCACCGGCUAACUCCGUGCCAG
rnacentral:rRNA from 1 species